rnacentral:rRNA from 1 species
GAGGAAAGCUGGCGGCGUGCCUAAUACAUGCAAGUAGAACGCUGAAGGAAGGAGCUUGCUCUUUCCGGAUGAGUUGCGAACGGGUGAGUAACGCGUAGGUAACCUGCCUGGUAGCGGGGGAUAACUAUUGGAAACGAUAGCUAAUACCGCAUAACAGUAGAUGUUGCAUGAUAUCUACUUAAAAGGUGCAAUUGCACCACUACCAGAUGGACCUGCGUUGUAUUAGCUAGUUGGUGAGGUAACGGCUCACCAAGGCGACGAUACAUAGCCGACCUGAGAGGGUGAUCGGCCACACUGGGACUGAGACACGGCCCAGACUCCUACGGGAGGCAGCAGUAGGGAAUCUUCGGCAAUGGACGGAAGUCUGACCGAGCAACGCCGCGUGAGUGAAGAAGGUUUUCGGAUCGUAAAGCUCUGUUGUAAGAGAAGAACGAGUGUGAGAGUGGAAAGUUCACACUGUGACGGUAUCUCACCAGAAAGGGACGGCUAACUACGUG